AGUGAACGCUGGCGGUAGGCCUAACACAUGCAAGUCGAACGGCAGCACAGUAAGAGCUUGCUCUUACGGGUGGCGAGUGGCGGACGGGUGAGGAAUACAUCGGAAUCUACUUUUUCGUGGGGGAUAACGUAGGGAAACUUACGCUAAUACCGCAUACGACCUACGGGUGAAAGCAGGGGAUCUUCGGACCUUGCGCGAUUGAAUGAGCCGAUGUCGGAUUAGCUAGUUGGCGGGGUAAAGGCCCACCAAGGCGACGAUCCGUAGCUGGUCUGAGAGGAUGAUCAGCCACACUGGAACUGAGACGCGGUCCAGACUCCUACGGGAGGCAGCAGUGGGGAAUAUUGGGCAAAGGGCGCAAGCCUGAUCCAGCCAUACCGCGUGGGUGAAGAAGGCCUUCGGGUUGUAAAGCCCUUUUGUUGGGAAAGAAAAGCAGCAGGUUAAUACCCCGCUGUUCUGACGGUACCCAAAGAAUAAGCACCGGCUAACUUCGUG
rnacentral:rRNA from 1 species